GUUAGAGUGGAGUAGUAGUUUAACUCGUCGCCCUCCCAAACCGAACCUCAAGUGGUGAAGCAAGGAGAUUCAGGCGGAGACCCGGGUGCGAAUCCCGGCUCUAGCA
rnacentral:tRNA from 1 species